UUUCCUUGGAAUAAAGAGAACGGUGGCGAUGGUGCUUCUUCCUCUGCCCCCCUUCGCUCGUAGAUCGCACUGGGCGGUGGUCAAUCAAUGAUGAUUCAACCUCUCUCCUUCUCUCUGAUGCGGCAGCGUUGAGGUAUAAAUGCAGCAAUCAUCUCUCCUCUCUCUCCUCAUCUCCUCCUCCUCCCUCACGGGCACCUCCUUUGUUGCACCUGUACCUCCCUCGGCGCGAUAUUAGCCUGCGAGCGCAGAAGAAGACACGGAGGGGGGAAAAGGCCAAAUUGGAGCGAGCUCGAUUUGUCCGGAAGCAUUCUAGGGCAAAAGCCGCGUUUUUGACGGAGGCGGGGAGAUUAAAGGUGGGGGAAUAUCUCGAGCGGGCAUCUUCGCUUUCCGGAUUCUGGGUCGGGGCACUCGAGUAGGGGAAAAGGUGCGAUCUUUGAUGCGAUGGCUUGAGUUCUGCUGCUGUUCCCGUCUUGCUCGCUGAUAGAGUGAUAGUUUAACUCGCCUCUCAUCUAUAUAGAUGUCCUCUUCUAGAUUGAAAGGAUCUGAAGUGGAAGAUAAAGGUAUAAUCUUGUUCUUGUUUCCAGGACAAAGUAAGGAUAAAUCGUUUACUGUAGCCGUGUCUGAAGAUCCACUGCCAAGGUUGGAGACAUCGAUCGACAUGAAUGAGAACAAGUUUGUGUUGAAUAGCCAUCAUGAUGGCGGUGAAUGGCAAUUUAACACCCCUGCGAUGAGCAUGGUGCCGCUGCCGCUGAGCGCCCCUUCUCUUGCAGGCGGCCUCAUGAAUCAGAACACUCGAUCGUCAUAUCUUUCGACUCCAAUGGUGGAGGUCUUUAGCCCUGGUCAAUGGAACCACCACCCUACUAGUUCACCAAACAUGGCCCUUGGAGAAAGCAAUUUCGCAAGCACGAGCUCCAUCAACAGCAUACCAGUUGGAAAACCAGUAGCAAUAUCACCCAGAGGGAUGCUAGUAUCGACUGCACCGAGAAUUUUCCCCACCAGCCUGCCUCAUUUCCCUGUUGAUUCAGCUUUUGUCGAGAGGGCAGCAAGGUUCUCAUGUUUUGGUAGUGGUAAUUUUAGCGGCAUAAACUUCUUCAGUUCGUCUCCAGCAAUGGCUCCUUCAAACAAUGAAGGCAUUGGGGAUCAGGUUCAGAAGGAUGAAUUGCUGCAAGUGGAUCAUGAAUCGCUUAAUGGAAGCACAAUGAAAAACCAAGGAGACCAAAACUCUCAGAUCGGCAAUGGUGAAUCACGUGUGGUGAUUUUUCCUGAAGAUGGCCUAGAAGGAAAUACUGGUUCAACUGAUGCAGCUUUAAAUUCAUCGUCUAGUGACCGUGGAGUGAAUAAGAGGAGAAAAACCGUACCGGAUAUUGAAAGGGAUCCAGUGCAAGGAGGCCGGCAAUCUUCCUCAGAAACCACAAAGGAGAACAUUGAGAAUAAACAAAAAGUAGAGCAGAUCAAUUCUAAACAAAUCGAAAAGAAUGGGAAAGAUAACUCGGAAUUUGUCAAGGAGGGCUACGUACAUGUUAGAGCACGGCGUGGACAAGCAACUAACAGUCACAGCCUUGCAGAAAGAGUAAGGAGGGAAAAAAUAAGUGAAAGGAUGAAGUAUCUUCAAGAACUCGUGCCGGGUUGUAGCAAGGUCACCGGAAAGGCAGUUAUGCUGGAUGAAAUCAUAAACUAUGUUCAGUCGCUCCAAAGGCAGGUAGAGUUUCUCUCGAUGAAGCUUGCAGCUGUGAAUCCACAACUAGACUUCGGCAUAGAAGGCCUUCUUGCUAAAAAUCUUCUACGUACACACGGUAGUUCCUCAUCGGCAACAGGAUUCUCGCCGGAGAUGAUAUAUCCACAAGCAUAUCCAUCUCAGCACAAUUUGGUACACACUGGAAUUUCUGCAAUGGCUAGCCAUUCAGACACAUUUAGGAGAGCAAUAAGUACACAAUCGACAGCAAGUGGUUAUAAAGAAUCUCCGCUGCAGGUUCAACCGAUGCACAUCCCUUGGAAUGAAGAGCUCAUCACACAAAUGGCAUACGGUGCCAAUCCUUCCAAUCCGCAGAACAUGCAUAGUAAAGCUGAUGACUUUGCCAUAUAGAACGAUCACUAUUCAUGCGGUGACGCUCAGUCCCUAUGCAUCCUAGCUUCCUACCAAGUGGUUACCUAGAUGCUCAAGUUCAAUAAAAUUCCCUGUGCAUAUAUAUAUCUUCCAAUAUAUGCGGAACUGUUGUAUGGCUUGUAGGGUUUGAUCAUCUGGAUAAGAGGUAAUAGGAGAUGGAAUGAAGCACGGCGAGUCGUGUGUGUAUUCACUAUUAAAUCGUAAGGGGGCUCGCGAAGGAGAUCCGACCAAGAUCUGCUGGUGGUUGGCCUUGGACCACCAUGAACAUAAUUGCCUCCAAAAAGACUCUUUAAUAUCUGUUAUUGGUGACUUUUGCUCAGUCUUUUGGUUAAGAAACAAGUGAUAGGUUUGUUGUUAAUUGAGUUGGACCAUCAGUAGUUGCUGUUGCUGCUGUUCUCAGUUUUGAGUGCAUGCAAUUAUUUCUUCUCUUACAA